CUACGGGAGGCAGCAGUGGGGAAUCUUAGACAAUGGGCGCAAGCCUGAUCUAGCCAUGCCGCGUGAGUGAUGAAGGCCCUAGGGUCGUAAAGCUCUUUCGCCAGGGAUGAUAAUGACAGUACCUGGUAAAGAAACCCCGGCUAACUCCGUGCCAGCAGCCGCGGUAAUACGGAGGGGGUUAGCGUUGUUCGGAAUUACUGGGCGUAAAGCGCACGUAGGCGGAUUAGUCAGUCAGAGGUGAAAUCCCAGGGCUCAACCCUGGAACUGCCUUUGAUACUGCUAGUCUAGAGUUCGAGAGAGGUGAGUGGAAUUCCGAGUGUAGAGGUGAAAUUCGUAGAUAUUCGGAGGAACACCAGUGGCGAAGGCGGCUCACUGGCUCGAUACUGACGCUGAGGUGCGAAAGUGUGGGGAGCAAACAGGAUUAGAUACCCUGGUAGUCCACACCGUAAACGAUGAAUGCCAGUCGUCGGGCAGCAUGCUGUUCGGUGACACACCUAACGGAUUAAGCAUUCCGCCUGGGGAGUACGGUCGCAAGAUUAAAACUCAAG
rnacentral:rRNA from 1 species